ensembl:lncRNA
GCCAGGUGACACCUGGGAUAUUACCCCGCUGGAUAGGUAGCAGUUGGCUUUGCCCUCCCGCGGCCCAGGAAGCUUCCAGCUGAAGGUGGUGUGGCCCUUGAUUCUCCCCCCCCCCCAAGUGUGUUCCUAGUUAUGUUACUUUGAUAAGCCAUUUGGCUACAGGUGCCACGGAUCAUGCUGCUUCCUCUGUUUUGGCCUGAGCUUCUAGCUGCUUGUCUUUCCGCUUGUUCCUCACCCCUACCGUUGAGUGCUGAAGUGUGGCUUGGGGAGCCUGGCAGGCUUCACGGAGAUGUUGGAGGCAUGUUGGUUCCUAGUCAGGGAUGCUUCAAGCCCGGCAGCUGUGGGGUAGUGACCUUAGAUCGGUGUUUCCCCUAUAAAACGAUCAUAAUAACCGCUGGAAAAGGUUGGCGGGAGGAUUAAUGGAGAUUAAGGGGGCCGCACUCCUGCUCUGGCGGCACAACUAGUUGGCCUCCAUUACGAUAGGGAUUGUUGCUGGGAGUGGCUGCAGGGGUGGGGGCUGGGCUGUGUCCUGGGCUCCUCCCCACCAGCCCACUUCCUGAAGCACGUGCUGGAGCCUCCGGGCAAAGGAGAAAGAAAACUGGCUCUACUUGGGAACGGGGCCAGCUGUUUUUCUCCCAGUGCAGGUUUUUUAGUCCAGGCUGUCCGGGCUCAAUGAGCUGCUCUGUGGUGGGGGUCGUGAUUUUUAAGGGUUACCCACCAGUGGCCCCAAGUGACGAAAAACUUCCCACCCAAGGUUAUGAGGCCACCACUGGCUGAGUCUGGACAGGGUUCCAGGUUACCUUGAUUUUCAGCCCAGAGCCUGGGCCCCUGACACCCCCUUGCCCAGCUGUCUGGGUUAUUUUAGGCACCCUCCGGUGCCAGCUGUCUGCUUCCAUCACUGCCAGGGUCUGGUAGCAAGGAACCAGGAUGGUCCCGUGGCUCCUGCUGGUAUAGAGGGCCAGCCAUGUUGGGAGGGCUAAACUCCUCACCCCAAGUGGGAAGAGCCCGGAAAAGCACUUUUCUAAGGGUUUCUCUGUAUUGCUUUGGAGCCUAUCCUGGAGCUCGCUCUGAAGACCAGGCUGGCUUUGAACUCACAGAGAUCCGCCUGCCUCUGCCUCCGAUUGCUGGGAUUAAAGGCGUGCGCCACCAACGCCCUGCCUAAGUGAUUGAUGUAAGUGGGCUGUGUCAGCUGUACCCUGGAGGGCUACAGACUUUGGGGAACAAUUAGGUGCUAAACUGUGGUGUGGUGCUUGAAAGGGAACCAUAGAAGUGACAGGGCCAACUUGUGAUUACGGUCUGCACUUCACUUUUUCCUUUUUGUUUUUUGUUUUUUGUUUUGUUUUUUUCUUUGACCCCCUUAUCACCUCCUGGGCGGUAGGGUGGGGCAGUUUGUCCCAAAGUAGUUCCUGGCCCUGGGGGGGCCCGCCCACUGGUCACUCACUGAGUUUGCUUGGGGCGGGGCUGCUUUGGCCUGCUGAGAGAGGGCCACGCCAGCGGAAGGACUGCCUGAGCUGGGAGGUGGCUGGACUAGCUUCACUGCCCAGAUUCCAGCGUCUCCGCCCCUUCCGUCUCCUCCACCUGGCCUGGAGCCCCAGUUUGGAAUAUGACCUUUUAGACACUCUGGGUAGAGCUGGCAGCCAAGAUGGGAAGAAAUACCCCUCACUAUCACCUGCCCCAAUCGUGUUCUCCGAUUGUUCUGUGCAAGUUCCUGUGGAUGGGAACCAGGAAGGCUCUUUCUAACAUUUUGGUGUGACAGAGGAGGGUCUUGCCAUGUCCAAGAUAGUUCUCUUGACAGGCUGGGACUGUAAGUUGAAGGCCUUCUACCUCUGCUCUCCUGGGCUUGCUUUCCCUAUUGGCCUCUGUCUUCCUUGAGACCAUCCUGCGGCUGGCUCCCUGAGUGAAUCUUCCCCUGGCACAAGAAGCCAGCCAGCCAGCCAGCCAGCCUCUGGGGCCCAGGACAAAGCCUGAAGAAGCCUAAGAGAAGAACCCUGGAAUCCCUGCAAAGCCCUUCUCCCCCUUCAACCAGCAGUCGGGCCCUAGCCCGUAACCUUGACAACCACUUGGUCCUGUCUCCUCACUACUGAAAACCUGAAGAGGGUUUUCCAGCUGCGGUACAUUUGCCCAAAUUGGGCACCCCUUCUAGCUUCCAUUGGCUCUCCCUCUGCCCAACUGUACCCAAUACAACAAACCAGCUUCCCUGGUCCCUUGGCUGUAACCCAAAAUUGAUCACACUGGUGCUGGGAGCUCCACCACACAGCUUCCUCCAUGCAGCUCCUAACAGGCAGGAAUACGGUUGCUUCUCAAUAAACAAAUCGCAAAAAAGGAAUGAACGAGUUGCUGAACAUUUGUCUA